AGCAGGGAAUAUUGGACAAUGGGCGCACGCCUGAUCCAGCAACGCCGCGUGCGGGAUGAAGGCCUUCGGGUUGUAAACCGCUUUUCUGAGGGAAGAGCAAGGACGGUACCUCAGGAAUAAGUCUCGGCUAACUACGUGCCAGCAGCCGCGGUAAUACGUAGGAGGCGAGCGUUAUCCGGAUUUACUGGGCGUAAAGCGCGUGUAGGCGGUUUGGUAAGUUGGAUGUGAAAUCUCCCGGCUCAACUGGGAGAGGUCGUUCAAGACUGCCAGACUAGAGGACGGUAGAGGAAGGUAGAAUUCCCGGUGUAGUGGUGAAAUGCGUAGAUAUCGGGAGGAAUACCAGUGGCGAAGGCGGCCUUCUGGGCCGUUCCUGACGCUCAGACGCGAAAGCGUGGGUAGCAAACGGGAUUAGAAACCCCGGUAGUCCACGCCGUAAACGAUGCAGACUUGGUGUUGGUGGCGUAAAAUCCAUCAGUGCCGCAGCUAACGCGAUAAGUCUGCCGCCUGGGGACUACGGCCGCAAGGCUAAAACUCAAAGGAAUUGACGGGUUCCCGCACAAGCAGCGGAGCGUGUGGUUUAAUUCGAGGCUACGCGAAGAACCUUACCUGGGCUUGACAUGUUGGUUGUAGAGAGCCGAAAGGUGAUCGACCCUUCGGGGAGCCAUCACAGGUGUUGCAUGGCUGUCGUCAGUUCGUGCCGUGAGGUGUCCGGUUAAGUCCGGUAACGAACGCAACCCUCGCCAUAUGUUAUACGUGUCAUAUGGGACUGCCGGUAUAAAGCCGGAGGAAGGUGAGGAUGACGUCAAGUCAGCAUGACCUUUAUGUCCAGGGCUACACACACGCUACAAUGGCCGGUACAAUGGGUCGCAAAGCCGCGAGGUGGAGCCAAUCCUCAAAACCGGUCUCAGUUCGGAUUGCAGGCUGCAACUCGCCUGCAUGAAGCUGGAGUUGCUAGUAAACGCGCGUCAGCAACAGUGCGUUGAAUACGU
rnacentral:rRNA from 1 species